rnacentral:rRNA from 1 species
ACGAACGCUGGCGGCAUGCCUAACACAUGCAAGUCGAACGAGACCUUCGGGUCUAGUGGCGCACGGGUGCGUAACGCGUGGGAACCUGCCCUUAGGUUCGGAAUAACUCCCCGAAAGGGGUGCUAAUACCGGAUGAUGUCUUCGGACCAAAGAUUUAUCGCCUUUGGAUGGGCCCGCGUUGGAUUAGCUAGUUGGUAGGGUAAAAGCCUACCAAGGCGACGAUCCAUAGCUGGUCUGAGAGGAUGAUCAGCCACACUGGGACUGAGACACGGCCCAGACUCCUACGGGAGGCAGCAGUGGGGAAUAUUGGACAAUGGGCGAAAGCCUGAUCCAGCAAUGCCGCGUGAGUGAUGAAGGCCUUAGGGUUGUAAAGCUCUUUUACCCGGGAUGAUAAUGACAGUACCGGGAGAAUAAGCUCCGGCUAACUCCGUG